UACGGAGGGUGCUAGCGUUGUUCGGAAUUAUUGGGCGUAAAGGGCAGGUAGGUUGUCUAGAUAAGUCUAUUGUGAAAUCCCAGGGCUUAACCCUGGAAGUGCAGUGGAUACUGCUAGACUAGAGUACUAUAGGGGUGCGUGGAAUUCCCGGUGUAGCGGUGAAAUGCGUAGAUAUCGGAAGGAACACCAGUGGCGAAAGCGGCUUCCUGGUCCAGCAUCGACGUUCAGGCACGAAAGCGUGGGGAGCAAACAGG
rnacentral:rRNA from 1 species